rnacentral:misc_RNA from 1 species
ANCNUGUGGGGAUGUUGAAUGGGAAGAGGACCUUCCGGCAGUCUUUGACUUGUCUCGAGGUAUGAACCUUCCCGUGCUUUUUAGAACAUAGAUGGCACCAGUCAGGUGACUAUCGAAACGUAAUACGCCGCGAUGACUUCGGUCACGACGGUAUGGCGAGCUUUCGCCGUCCACGUUUCUCUUUCUUCAAGAAGACAAAAAACCGCGUCGACCGGUUCCCCGAAUGGGCCCGUAGCUCAUGUUGGUUAGAUACACGCUUGAUAAGCGCGGGGCCGGAAGUUCAAGUCUUCCCGGGCCCACCAUUUGCACCGGCAAAUGAAAUUUGCUGUAGCAAUGAGGGUUGAGGGAUGAUGGAAUGUUGGACGAUGCGAUUGUUGCCGAACCUUGGGGUCUUGUCCCUGGGUGAUCGAGCUGGAGGGCUGUAGCUCACUGGGAGAGCACCUGCUUUGCAAGCAGGGGGUCAGCGGUUCAUCCCGCUCACUCACCAAAUCGAUUGGUGUUGAACUGACGGCAUUUGUCUUUUGAGAAUAAAGUUUGCAUCGGCUUAUGGCUGGUGCGUGUUCUGCAUACUGUGAAGAGAAGAUUGAUCUGGAGGCUUCCAUGUGUCGUGGGUUUUUAUCCAUGAUGUCCGACCCAGUUCCUGUGAAACGGCACGGCCGGAUGGGUGAGGGAUUGAGGUGAAGAACUUGUCACUCUGGAAUUGUUGUUCUGCUUGGAUCGUCUGAGAACAUCGGAUCGUUGCCUGACUAUUCUCGAAGCGGUCUUAAACAGUGCCGAGCUGCUCCCAAAAUACAAUGGCAUCAUGAAACGAUCCGGUUGUAAAAGGUAACCGGAUUUUUGGACUGGCCGCACGGCAAUCGCAAGGUUGUCCGGAUGGUCAGAUUUGGCACCCACGAGGCGUAUGCCGAGUGAUAAGGUCUGCCAAAUCCAAAUAUGGAUGAGCAUUGGCAAUGAGAACGAUUAAGUGUCGUAAGGGCAUUUGGUGGAUGCCUUGGCAUGCACAGGCGAUGAAGGACGUGAUACGCUGCGAAAAGCCGUGGGGAGCUGCGAAAUUAGCCUUAUAAACCAGGC